CCACUAAAUGUAACCUAUGAGCUCCCGCUAAUAGCACGCUGCCUCUGAUCUCCAGAGGAUUAUCUUACUCUGGAGCUCUUAUAGGAGCUGUAUACUGAAAGGGCUCUGAAACAGAUACCCUGUAAUUUACAUCCCUGCUUAGUGCCUCAGUGAGGAAAGGCGGCCUUUGCUCCAAAUUGGCAUGUCCUCUGCCGGCACUCAGGAGAACUGUACCAGAGAAGAUGCAGGACCUGUGUCAGUGUACUUGAUCCCUGGAUUUCAUCACACAUGACUUCACUGCAACUGCUUUGCUUUACCCCUUGCUCAACAACAAAGAGGUACCUCGACUUCAGAGCUUUGUAUCUGUGUGUAGACUUCAAGGCUGACAUACCUCAACAUUGAGAAUAAAGUGAAAAUCUCCUUUGCUGUUCCAUAAA